rnacentral:rRNA from 1 species
GAUGAACGCUGGCGGUGUGCUUAACACAUGCAAGUCGAACGGCAACGCCCUGCUUUCGUGGGCUGCCCGAUUGGCGAUCGGGUGCGUAACACGUGUGUAACCUGCUCUUGUCUUUGGGAUAACUUCAGGUAACUGGGGCUACUCCCGUAUAGCAUCCCCCCUUCCAUGGUGGGCGUUGGAUCUUCUCGGCGGUCGGGGUUGGACUCGCGGCUUACCAGCUUGUUGGUGGGGUAGUGGCUUACCAAGGCUUUGACGGGUAGCCGGCCUGUGAGGGUGACCGGGCACAAUGGGACUAAGAGACGGCGCAGACUGGUACAGGAGACAGCAGGGGGGAAUAUUGCACAGUGGGCGGAAGCGUGAGACAGCAACGCCGCGGGCGGGAUGACGGCCUUCGGGUUGUAAACCGCUUUCGCCUGUGACGAAGCGUGAGUGACGGUAAUGGGUGAAGAAGCACCGGCUAACUACGUA